AAGCGGUACGCGAGCUGGGUUCAGAACGUCGUGAGACAGUUCGGUCCCUAUCCGUCGUGGGCGUAGGAAAUUUGAGAGGAGCUGUCCUUAGUACGAGAGGACCGGGAUGGACAUACCUCUGGUGUACCAGUUGUCGUGCCAACGGCAUAGCUGGGUAGCUAUGUAUGGACGGGAUAAGUGCUGAAAGCAUCUAAGCAUGAAGCCCCCCUCAAGAUGAGAUUUCCCAACUUCGGUUAUAAGAUCCCUCGAAGAUGACGAGGUUAAUAGGUUCGAGGUGGAAGCGUGGUGACACGUGGAGCUGACGAAUACUAAUCGAUCGAAGACUUAAUCAA
rnacentral:rRNA from 2 species